GUGUAUGCAGAUGUAGGGCUGGUGCAGAAUGGACUAGUUGUGAAGACUCAAAUUGUCUUGAUGCAAUCAGCUUGCAUAUGUGUCAGACACGAAGAUGUCAAAGAAUAUUAACAUAGGGCAGGCUGUAGAAUAAACCUGUAGAUUGACAAUUCAGCAUGUAUAUACAUUGUGAAAUGCAUUGUUCUAUUGAGUUGUAAUGGCUUCAUGUACUCCUGUGAUUGGCAAUGGCCCAAUUAAAUCACCCUAUCUUUGUAACGACUUCUGGAAUGAAAAAAGUG
rnacentral:lncRNA from 1 species